rnacentral:lncRNA from 1 species
AGUGCCUGCCGGGAAGCCAAUGUACAUUUGUCCACCUUCCAGGCUUUAAACUGAGAGGGCACACUGAGGCUGGCAUGCCAAAGUAUCUCCCAAAAUCUCUGUGUCCUAAGGAAUAUCUGAGAAGUUACUAAUCAGGGACACUCUUUCUUCCUGGAUCCCAAGCAAAACCGGAAGAAAUCGGAGAAAGCAUUGCCUCCAACAGUUGUGGUGUAAAGCAAGAAAGUGCGUGUUUUCCUUGAAGAAUCCUGACUCUUAGAAGGUGUGAAUUUGGGGGCCGUGGUCAGAAUCACACAACCUGCUCCCUGAGGAUGGCAGCGCUCCCUUCGGCCACUCCAGGUGCUGAUGUGACUGUCCCUCCAGGUAGGGGAGGGAAGGAGGCUUGGAGAUGUUAAAGACCCAUCACCUGCAAGAGACUUGGUGAGUUGAAUAGGUUAAGGUGUUAGUUUGGCACUACUCACUUCCGCUGGGUCCAGCUUGCAGCAAGGAAGCCUUUGAGCGAUACAAGAAAGUACUGAGGAUUCUUUCUACAUUAGGAGUGAACACUUUUGAUGACUAAUGAAAAUGUGCCUCAUUGGCCCAAACCUGAACCUUUCAGGAAGUGGGUUGUGAGAAGUCCUGAUUAGCGUGAAAUUAUAUUUUCCCACAAUGUUCCGGCCCCAAUGCACGCGGACCUAUAGGGCUGUAAUUCCCACGGUAAGAAAAUUUGCCCAGGCACUUGCGAUUGUGUGGACUUGCCCUCAAAUGUUACUUCCCAGCCCCGCUCCCAAACCCUGAAAAGCACUCUUCACUCACAUGGAAAAGCAUCAUCACUUGGGAAAGACUCGCCAAGAUUUCCCAUCCUUGUUCCAGCGAAUGGAGCACAAAGCACAACCUAAUGAAAGCCCUUUAUCAGAUCAGUUCCUGUGGGCCUUGUGCUCCAUCCACACCCCUCUGCCCAGGAGAGGAGAGCCCUGGGACGAACACUAGGUCAGGCCAUACCCCUCCGAAGCCCCCACCCCACUCCACCCUGGAUCUGGGGGAGAGUCUACUAUUUAAAGCCAUCGCUGAACCUACUGUCGCAGGCUUCUGGCCCUGUAAGAAAGAAAAGAGGUUAGGCUUUCACCCUUUAGAAACUCAACAUGAACUUAUCACAUUCAUGUACUGUUGGGUUUGUUUCCACGUGUUAAUUGUCCAUAAGUAACUUCCCGAACAAAGAUCCUUUCCCCGCCCUAAGCAUCCAAAGCGGAUGUGCAGUCCUUAAAUAAAUACACAUCAAAGCGUUUUACCUAUUUCCCUAUAAGCCUGGGGCAAAAUUAGCAUAAGAUAUGAUGAGUUGUUUAACACUUCUUAUCUCACAGAUCAAACAGCUGCCAAUAGGGCCAUCGCAGAUAGAAAAAAAAAAAUCUCAAAUCAUCUGCCAGAGUCAUCAGAAUCUCGAACCAUCCGCCAGAGGUCCACAGACAGCUAUGCCCCUAGAGAGCCUGUGGGUCGCAAGAGUGAUCAGAGCCAAGCUGCAGGUGUCCAGCCUCAGAGGAAAAGCCUGGAGCACACGCAGCCGGCCUGCCAGUAGAAAAGAUACGGGGCUGGCAUUUCUCUCUGCGUCCCUGAGCAAGGUCCAGGAAGCCCAGUUCACCCGACCACAGGCCACACAGAGCCCCUGCCAGUCCCAAGGGUCCAUAGCAGCCUGAUGCAGCCACCAUAAGCCCAGAGCAGCUGGCAGCAGCUGGCAGGGAGGGGAAGGGAAUGGGGGCGGCAUCGCCCCCUGUUACAGAUGUCUCAGCAAUCAAGUCUGGUGAUGGGCAAGCGAUGACGGUUGAACACCUGGCUGUGCUAUGGCUUUGCUAUGGCUUUACAAACCUGUCACAGGCACUGAAAGCACAAUCACAUGUUGGGUGGAGGGUGGAUAACUGGCUGCAAAUGCAUCUCUUCAUCAUGGCAAGAUAGGGGGAGUCAGGCCAUGCAUGGUCCCUGACAUUUGGAAGAGUUAACUUGGACCGAGGUCUUCAGUAACAAAAUACCAUCACAUACAAAGACUGAAGGGUGACAGGUGGCCCCAUUAGGAAAGAAUUCACAAAGCUUCAUUUCUAAUCAUCACUUAGAGACCGAAAUAUAAUGAUCUCUUUUAUUCCAUCAAGUACGAGUUGUCGUCGUCUUGCUAUAAGAAGAAUGAGCCUCCGCCCUUUGGAAAUUCAGCAUGAACUUCUCCUUUUCACAUACUGUUUGGUAUAGUUUUCACAUGUUAAUUGUCCAAUAAGCAACUUCCUGAACAAAGAUCCUUUUCCCUCCCACGCAUCGACGCUGGCGCUGGGUCUCUGCAUGAAUGCAAUUCGAAGCAUGUUGUCUAUUACCUGAUAAGCCUAAGACAAAAUUAACAUAAAAGAGAAGGAGGCUAUUUAACUCUUCCUGUCUUACGGAUCAAAUACAUCUAAGAUGGAAAAAGAGGAUCAUCACAGAAUGCACUGGAAGAGAAUAAAAUCUUCAAGUAGUAUUCUUUUUUUGGGGGGGUCUUUUAGUGCCACAUUCGAGGCGUAUGGAAGUUCCCAGGCUAGGGGGCGGAAGUCGAAUCAGAGCUACAGCUGCCAGCCUACAUACACCAUAGCCACAGCAACUCGGGAUCUGAGCCGCAUCUGCGACCUACACCACAGCUCACAGCAAUGCCGGAUCCUUAACCCACUGGGUGAGCCCAGGGAUGGAACCCGCAUCUUCAUGGAUCCUAGUUGGAUUCCUCACCGCUGAGCCACAACGGAACCCCAAAGUAGUAUUUCUGUUUUCUGGCAUUAACUUCAUCUCAUAUGUAACACACAUGUUAUUUGUAUCUCUCACCACACUUUUACGUUGUUAAAGUUGUAUCCAUUUAUAUACUUUACAACAUAAAAAAUGAAAUAUGAGAAUCCUAUUAAAUACCCUGAAGUCAGAUUUUUAUAACUAAAUUUUUCUCUGGCUUUUUAUCACUUACGAAAUUGUCUGGGUAAAAAUUUGAUGCCUGUAAUUUAAUAUUCAAUGGUAAUGAGAAGCUAAGCAAGUAUAUACAUGAGUGACUGGAUACUGUCUCCUCUGCUGACUGCUCUCUCUCAGUGAGGAGGGCCCCAAUUUUGAGAAGCUGCUUAUAGAGUUGGGUCUGCUCCCCACCUCCUUCCACCUUGACUUUCUAGAUUGAUCUGUGGGCAUCUUCCAAGAGCGGACUAUGGCUUAGAGAAAGCACCGUUGGCAAAGUAUUUAAUGAUAUUCCCUGCAGUUACUUGACCAAAUAAGACUGAAUCUUUAUAGCAAAGAGAGAAAACAAAAUUAUUUACUCAUUCAGUAUUUAUGAGUUUGGCAACAGGGCACAGUCCCCAGCACAGCGAAGGGCUGAUGUUUGCUCUAGCAAGGUACCCUCCCCCUGUUUCUUCAGAAGAUGGGAAGGAGAGGUUUACAGUUCCUGAGCUAAUGUUGACUCUUUGUAGCACAAUUCUCUGUGUUUUAGGGAGCAAUUAAUUCCCAUAAUUGACAUUGGUACAACAUGGAUCUUUAAAGAUUUAUGAAAGAGUGUUCUGCCUCAGCACCAGCAUUUAUUUCUAAGAGUAUCCCCAGGCAUUGCCACCAUGGCCCCUGGGACACCAGAUAUGAAGGGGACCAGAAGGUGGGCAGAGCUGGGAGCAGAAGUGUCACGUCUGAGCUGGGACAGCUCAGGCUUGAGGAUGGCGCGUGCUAAGCCUGGGCCACGCCAGCCUCAUGUCUAAUCCAAAGCUGUAAGUGGGCACCUGGGAGACCCGAGAUGGUGUUCGAGGAAGCAGGCUGAGAGUGAGACCGCGGAGCCUGAAAUGGGGCUCCUGGCUCUUUAGACUGUGGUCAUGUGGCUGCCCACACCAAAGGUGUACCAUCUAACCAAAUAUCAACCCCAUCAUUCCAUUGCUCUUUGGAAUGAUGCAUGCUUUAGGAUUGUCCUUGGGGAAGUUAUUGACCCCAGUACAGGCAGGCUUUGAGCUUUACACUUUGGUUCAUGAAGUAAGCCCUAACUCAGAGUUAAAUGAUUAACUAUGAAGAUUAAUAAUGGGGCAGGGGAAGAGAGGACGAUGAAGGGGGCAGCUGAUAGGGAAGGAUGGGGGGGGAGUAGUAUUUACUAAGCACCUACUGUGUGCCAAGCACUCUGCUAGACCCUUUAUAUGUGUGUUGUUUCAAAAUCCCCACAAGAACCCUGGCAGGUGGGUAUAAUUAGCCCUAUUGACAGAAGAGAAAACAGAGACUUCAGGAGGAAGGAUAAUGUGUCAAGCCAAUCACUGGCUGUAGCAGUGCUGGCCUUCCCCCCCAGGAUACCGGACACAGUGCAAUUUCUUCCAUGAAGCCCUGCAGAUGCUCCAAAGACACACCUUACAUCCUCACCUGUGAUCCCCCCUCCCGCCCCAGUCUCUCUGAGAGAUAAAAAUGUUCUUUCCUGGCUCCAAGUGGUGGCCCCAAGGGAGGGAUUAGGUACUUCAUUUCUGAGCCUCCCCCAAGCCCCCAGUCUCCAUCCAUCACGACAAACACUCCAUAUGGCGACAAUGUAUAUAAAAAUAGCGUGAGCUUGCUAGGGAAGUGCAACUUCAAAGCCAACAGACUUCGAGAGUCACCUUCUAACCAGAUUGCUACCUCCAAGCCCCUCUCACCUGGAGAACUUGGAGUCUCCCUGGAUUUACAAAAUAACUUGUCAACAUCUCUUAGACUGAAGGCGCCCUGAGAGGAGGAAUGGUGUCUGCUCAACCUCGCACAGCAUCUCAUGGGCUACACCCAGCACCUGAUCUAUUAAAACGUCCCAUCGAUACUGGCGAAAUGAAGGAAGGAAGACGAAUCUGUGCCUUCUUCAGCAUUAACUAAAAAAGCCUUUAUCAGGCAGGCUCCCCUUCUCGACGUCCCUUCCCCUGGGAGAGAAAUGUCCCUGCAGCUCUUGGAUCACUCCUAGAACUUUCUGUACCCACCCUGAGCCGAGCAAGGCUGUGACAUUCUGAGAACACCAGCGAGGUGCCAAGGUUAAUGCACCCCCCGAAAAAAGGAGCCACGCUCGGGCCCAGAGAUAGCGGGUGUUAAAUAUACACGUGAAAACCGAACUGCUCUUUCUUGGGGUGUGAUGAGAAGAGGUUCUCUGCCUUUCAAGAAAGGUUUGGGUAAAGGAACUCAGCGAAGCCCCAGCGGCCUGAGACUGAAAGCAGGCGGUCCAUAAUUUAUCGCUUAUCUGAGUAAGAGCUGUCUUAGACACACGGAAGUCAUUAGCUGAGCACGCUUGGGUGGGAGGCACCACUCAGGUACCUGGCACGGUGAGUCCAGAAGGAACAGGACCCGGCCUGGUCAGCAUCUAAAUCUCUGAACUAAAAUUACCGGGGCAGAAAACACUUGGCACCGUCACCACAUCCUCCACUCCCACCUCCGUGGAGCAACAUGUGCCCUUCCCCC